UACGGCAGAAAUAGUACUCGUAGAACCGGACCACUUAUGCGUAGGCAAGUUUAGCUUGAGCGAGUCGAGCUGUACUUGAUUAGAUUGACUACGAGCUUGAGAUUGGAAAAUUCUAAUUCCAAGUUAUUAAAUCUCUGGUUUGCUCAUGUAAGGCGGCUGCCAUUGAUAAUGGAGAGCUGGAAAGUGGAUCGAUUGUUUUAAGAGGUCUCAGACAAGCUGAUCCUUUCUCUCCCUUCUUAGCAGUGGAUGUGCCAAGUAGGAUUCUCAACUUAGCUGCAGGAGAAGAUCUUAUUCGGGGAUCAGAAAUUAUGCUGGAAAAUAUGUUCACCAGCCAACUCGAUGUGGAAAUCUCGUCUUGAAGGAUUAUUACUCCAAAAAUGGAUUUGGCACAAGAUCUAGGAGAAGGAAAGCUUCUAUCCCUGAUUGGAAUGGCAUCUGCUCUGUUCUUGAUCCCUUCUGGUAUGGGUUGGGUUUUGUUCUGGGAGAAGGUUCUUCUAUUAGAUUUUGUGACGAUAUUCAGAUUGGGAAGCAUUCUUUUGCUUCUCUACUGCAUCCCCCAAGAAGAGUGUCGCUACUCUUUCACAAUGGUGUACGUAGCUCCGCAUGGAACUGGAAUGCAAGGGUUGUGCUCUAGAAUCCUUGGAAUGGAACAGUCUCCAAGAGAUCUUCUCCCUUAUUCUACUUGGAUUUGGUCCUGACAUCCCUAAGUGUAACUUUUGCUCUUCUACUGUUUGCUCUGUUCUUGAAAAAAGGUGGCAUUCUUUGCCUGCUAUAUCCUCUUGUAUUAUUUUCAAUUUCUUAAUGGAAGGUGGGGCUUUACCUCCUCCUGUUACAUCAAAAAAACAGGGAAUUAGAUUGUUCAAGUCAAUUGGACUUGGCCGAGCUAGCUGGCAUCUCUCUGCUUGCCUCUUGUCAACACAAAACUCCAAUCGGAACCCAUAAGGUGGCACUUUCACCAUAUUUUCUCAAAAAUACUUUUUUAUUACUAAUACUUUUGUUUAACAUAUAGUUAGAAAAUGAACAAGAGAGUUUGUUCUUAAGUCAAAUCAAACUACAAUAAAUUAAUCGCGAGGAUCAUGUGGGUGUGUAUUUAGUCUCAUAUCGAUUAUUCGCCAAAAAAAUCUUGUAUACUUAUAUAGAACUAAGAAAUUCAUAAAAUAUUUUUCGACUAGUCUUUUUUAAUGAGAUCUUGGGUUGUUAUAUUAUUAUAAAUAAUAUCAGAGCAAAUUCGGUCCAUAAUCUAUAUAGGCUAGAAAAUACACUAAUAUGCAUUCAUGGCGGCUGACCACACACGGAUUAUAGUGUUUAUAAUUAGAUUUAAAUAGAUUUAAAUUUUUAGUCAAAUCAUGCUUUUGGUGAGAUUCUAAGUUGUCACGUUAACCAAUUCCUUUCUAUCACGGUAUUUGUAGGCUCCAGCUGACGACGAAAUCAGAGCACUUGACGGCAACACGGC
rnacentral:lncRNA from 1 species